AUUGAACGCUGGCGGCAGGCUUAACACAUGCAAGUCGAGCGGGGUGAUGGUGCUUGCACUAUCACUUAGCGGCGGACGGGUGAGUAAUGCUUAGGAAGCUGCCUAUUAGUGGGGGACAACAUCUCGAAAGGGAUGCUAAUACCGCAUACGUCCUACGAGAGAAAGAAGGGGAUCACUUGUGACCUUGCGCUAAUAGAUGAGCCUAAGGCGGAUUAGCUAGUUGGUGGGGUAAAGGCCUACCAAGGCGACGAUCUGGAGCGGGUCUGAGAGGAUGAUCCGCCACACUGGGACUGAGACACGGCCCAGACUCCUAGGGGAGGCAGCAGUGGGGAAUAUUGGACAAUGGGGGGAACCCUGUUCCAGCCAUGCCGCGUGUGUGAAGAAGGCCUUAUGGUUGUAAAGCACGUUAAGCGAGGAGGAGGCUCUUUUGGUUAAUACCCAAGAUGAGUGGACGUUACUCGCAGAAUAAGCACCGGCUAACUCUGUGCCAGCCGCCGCCGUAA
rnacentral:rRNA from 1 species